rnacentral:rRNA from 1 species
UACCUACGGGGGGCAGCAGUGAGGAAUAUUGGUCAAUGGGCGGAAGCCUGAACCAGCCAAGUCGCGUGAGGGAAUAAGGCCCUACGGGUCGUAAACCUCUUUUGUCGGAGAACAAAACCCGGGACGAGUCCCGGACUGCGUGUAUCCGAAGAAAAAGCAUCGGCUAACUCCGUGCCAGCAGCCGCGGUAAUACGGAGGAUGCGAGCGUUAUCCGGAUUUAUUGGGUUUAAAGGGUGCGUAGGCGGUCCGUUAAGUCAGCGGUAAAAUUGCGGGGCUCAACCCCGUCGAGCCGUUGAAACUGGCAG